AGUGAACGCUGGCGGUAGGCCUAACACAUGCAAGUCGAACGGCAGCACAGUAAGAGCUUGCUCUUACGGGUGGCGAGUGGCGGACGGGUGAGGAAUACAUCGGAAUCUACUUUUUCGUGGGGGAUAACGUAGGGAAACUUACGCUAAUACCGCAUACGACCUACGGGUGAAAGCAGGGGAUCUUCGUACCUUUCGCGAUUGAAUGAGCCGAUGUCGGAUUAGCUUGUUGGCGGGGUAAAGGCCCACCAAGGCGACGAUCCGUAGCUGGUCUGAGAGGAUGGUUAGGCACCACUGAACUGAGACACGGUCCAGACUCCUACGGGAGGCAGCAGUGGGGAAUAUUGGACAAUGGGCGCAAGCCUGAUCCAGCCAUACCGCGUGGGUGAAGAAGGCCUUCGGGUUGUAAAGCCCUUUUGUUGGGAAAGAAAAGCAGCAGGUUAAUACCCAGCUGUUCUGACGGUACCCAAAGAAUAAGCACCGGCUAACUUCGUG
rnacentral:rRNA from 1 species